CACAUGAGGAAAAAAAGGAGGCUUUAUGAGUUCCACUGCAGCAAAUUUAAACUCACCUGCCUAGCAGCCCUGAAUGGAAGAACUGAGCUCUCAGCACAGCACUUGAGCUCCUAUAAGAGACAGACUAUCUCCUAAAGCAGAUUCCCGACCCCUGUAUAUC